rnacentral:lncRNA from 1 species
UGGACGGCCUUGUGCUCCUCCCUGAAGUUUCUGAACCUUGGAUGGUGGCGUUUGAUACCCAUGACCCAGUGCAGCCGAGCUCUCCAUGUUACUUAUUCUUUAACCAUUUUUGAGCCUUUGCAUUAACCCAGUGCUGGACCCUGCAUGCUACAAUGCUGAGCGGCUGGCAAGCUGUGCUCACCGGUGCAAUCAUGGUGUGAUGGUUUUGGAGAGCCGUGAGAAGCUGACUUCUGGCACAUGUGGCUGCUGCAUGUGUCAGGGCACAGCAGCUGAGAUUACCUGACCAAGAUCAAGCCAGUCCCAGUCCCAGGGUGGGGGAGCAGAAGAGAGGCCCCAUCUGUACUGGAAGAACUAUCCACAGUUGAUGGCUGCCAAAGAAGGAAGAGUUCCCCUCCAGUGGGGACAUAGUUGAGAGUAGCCUGUGUGUGAUGCCUCCGUGGAUGGCCAUAUACCCAUGUAUAUAUAGGCAGCACUAACUGGAUUCAUCAGGUUAAUAAUAGCAAUAAAAGGGAAAGGACACGGAGUUGGGAAGGAGAUGAGUGGGAGCUAGAAGAGGUAGUGGUGGAUGGAUACAACCAGUACCCACUAUACUGUGUGACUGUAUGAUGCUUUUAAAGAACAGGAAAUACUUAGCUGGGUAAGGUGGUACACACUUUUCUUUGAUCCCAGCAUUCAGGAGUCAGAGGCAAGAGUAUCUCUGUGAGUCCAGGCCAGAGAAGGCUACAUAGUGGGACUCUGUUUAAAAAAUAAUUUAAGAGGGCUGCAGAGAUAGCUCAGAUGUUGUGAGCACUUGCUG